AGUGAACGCUGGCGGCGUGCUUAACACAUGCAAGUCGAACGAGAACGGAUUAUAGCUUGCUAUAAUUGUCAGCUAAGUGGCGCACGGGUGAGUAAUGUAUAGGUAAUAUGCCUCUUACUAAGGGAUAACAAAUGGAAACGUUUGCUAAUACCUUAUACUCCUUAUUAACAGAAGUUAAUAAGGGAAAGAUUUAUUGGUAAGAGAUUAGCUUGUAUUGUAUCAGUUAGUUGGUGGGGUAAUGGCUUACCAAGACUAUGACACAUAACUGGUUUGAGAAGAUGAUCAGUCACUCUGGAACGGAGACACGGUCCAGACUACUACGGGAGGCAGCAGUGGGUAAUAUUGCACAAUGGACGAAAGUCUGAUGCAGCAACGCCGCGCGGAGGAUGACACAUUUCGGUGCGUAAACUCCUUUUAUAUGAGAAGAUAAUGACGGUAUUAUAUGAAUAAGCACCGGCUAACUCCGUGCCAGCAGCCGCGGUAA
rnacentral:rRNA from 1 species